CGGGUGCACUGAUCCGGCCGGGCCUUUCCCUCUGUGGAACCCCAUGGCCUUCACUGGCUGUGCGGGGGAAACAGGACUUUUACUGUGAAAAAAUUAGAGUGCUCCAGGCAGGCCUAUGCUCGAAUACAUUAGCAUGGAAUAAUAGAAUAGGACGCGUGGUUCUAUUUUGUUGGUUUCUAGGACCGCCGUAAUGAUUAAUAGGGACAGUCGGGGGCAUCAGUAUUCAAUUGUCAGAGGUGAAAUUCUUGGAUCUAUUGAAGACUAACUACUGCAAAAGCAUUUGCCAAGGAUGUUUUCAUUGAUAAGGAACGAAAGUUAGGGGAUCGAAGACGAUCAGGUACCGUCGUAGUCUUAACUAUAAACUAUGCCGACUAGGGAUCGGACGAUGUUAUUUCUUGACGCGUUCGGCACCUUUCGAGAAAUCAAAGUGCUUGGGCUCCAGGGGGAGUAUGGUCGCAAGGCUGAAACUUAAAGAAAUUGACGGAAGGGCACCACCAGGGGUGGAACCUGCGGCUUAAUUUGACUCAACACGGGGAAACUCACCAGGUCCAGACACAGUGAGGAUUGACAGAUUGAGAGCUCUUUCUUGAUUCUGUGGGUGGUGGUGCAUGGCCGUUCUUAGUUGGUGGAGUGAUUUGUCUGGUGAAAGGAAUUUGCCAGUAAAAGAUGCACUUGUGUGGAUAUAGAUGUUCACACAGGUUACUAGCAUCUAGUCUACACUCUUUG
rnacentral:rRNA from 1 species